rnacentral:sRNA from 1 species
GUUUACCGCGUUAGCGAUUGCAGCGGCAUCUUUUUGUCCAUUUUACGACGGCUAUGGUAUGUCCUUGACUUUAAUGGGCAAAAAAUAUAGCGGAAAGCGCGGCCCUAU